rnacentral:rRNA from 1 species
AUACGAAGGUGGCAAGCGUUGUUCGGAAUUACUGGGCUUAAAGCGCACGCAGGCGGGACUGUAAGUGUCUUGUGAAAUUCCUCGGCUUACCCGGGGAACUGCAGGGCAUACUGCUGUCCUUGAGACAGGCAGGGGUGCGUGGAACUCUAGGUGGAGCGGUGAAAUGCGUAGAUAUCUAGAGGAACGCCGGUGGUGAAAACGGCGCACUAGGCCUGCUCUGACGCUCAGGUGCGAAAGCGUGGGGAGCGAACAGGAUUAGAUACCCUGGUAGUCCACGCCGUAAACGAUGUCUACUAGGUCGCGGUGGUUCUGACGCCGGCGCGGCCGCAGCAAAAGCAUUAAGUAGACCGCCUGGGGAGUACGGUCGCAAGGCUAAA